CCAGUAUCUCUACAUCGCAGACUUAAGACUAAUCUAUCCUAAAAAAAGGUGAUUCAUACAUCGAUCUCGAAUGGAUUGAUCACUGCCCUCCGUGACGAUCCUUUGAUCGGGAGCAUUUAGAAAUUAACCACUAAUAAUGUAUGUCUCAAAUUCUUAAUACUUUGAGAAUAUACAAAAUCAUCUUUAUUAAUUUUUAAGAUAAAUUAUAGAUACAUAAACAUGAUUGAUUAUUAAGACUGUCCAACAAGUACAAAACAUACGUUAGAGAAAAAUAUGUCAGCCA
rnacentral:lncRNA from 1 species